rnacentral:tmRNA from 1 species
GGGGCCGACUGGUAUCGACCGGACAGGGAAGGCCGGUGGUCGCGUGUCCAGGUGCGGGCAGGCCUGGUAAAACCGCUCGCAAACUCAUAAAUGCCAACGAUAACAUCGCUGGUCGGAUCGGCUUCGCGCCGGCCCGCCUGGCUGCCUAAAGUGCAGCCAAGUCUCUCAUCCGUUGCCCUCGCCGGGUGAGAGGCUCACAACCAGAGGGCUCGUCCAACGACGGCGUCAAAGCGUCCGCGGAUUAAACCUCACUUUGACUGGACCCCCGGAAGUGUGUCGCUUCACGGCCGGGGGUCGAGAUUAAACAAACGACUACACACGUAGAAGCCGCCGCGCUGACUGUCACGGGACGGGGGUUCAAUUCCCCCCGGCUCCAUUC